rnacentral:rRNA from 1 species
UACGUAGGGUGCGAGCGUUGUCCGGAAUUAUUGGGCGUAAAGAGCGUGUAGGCGGUUAGGUAGGUCCGUUGUGAAAACUCGAGGCUCAACCUCGAGACGCCGAUGGAAACCAUCUGACUAGAGUCCGGAAGAGGAGAGUGGAAUUCCUGGUGUAGCGGUGAAAUGCGCAGAUAUCAGGAAGAACACCCGUGGCUAAGGCGGCUCUCUAGUACGUGACUGACGCUGAGACGCGAAAGCGUGGGGAGCGAACAGG